rnacentral:rRNA from 1 species
UGGACGAACGCUGGCGGCGUGCUUAAUACAUGCAAGUUGAGCGGAGCCAUUGAUGAAGCUUGCGAUUCAAUGGUCGAGCGGCGGACGGGUGAGUAACGCGUGGGCAACCUGCCCUCUAGUCUGGGAUAACAGUUCGAAAGGGCUGCUAACACCGGAUAAGCUCACGGAGAGGCAUCUUUCAGUGAGAAAAGUUUACGCUAGAGGAUGGGCCCGCGUCCCAUUAGCUAGUUGGUGAGGUAACGGCUCACCAAGGCGCCGAUGGGUAGCCGACCUGAGAGGGUGACCGGCCACACUGGGACUGAGACACGGCCCAGACUCCUACGGGAGGCAGCAGUAGGGAAUUUUCCGCAAUGGGCGAAAGCCUGACGGAGCAACGCCGCGUGAGGGAAGAAGGUCUUCGGAUCGUAAACCUCUGUCUUCAGGGACGAUGAUGACGGUACCUGAGGAGGAAGCCACGGCUAACUACGUG